rnacentral:rRNA from 1 species
AUUGAACGCUGGCGGCAUGCCUUACACAUGCAAGUCGAACGGUAACGCGGGGCAACCUGGCGACGAGUGGCGAACGGGUGAGUAAUGCAUCGGAACGUACCCAGUAGUGGGGGAUAGCCCGGCGAAAGCCGGAUUAAUACCGCAUACGACCUAAGGGUGAAAGCGGGGGACCGUAAGGCCUUGCGCUAUUGGAGCGGCCGAUGUCAGAUUAGGUAGUUGGUGGGGUAAAGGCCUACCAAGCCUUCGAUCUGUAGCUGGUCUGAGAGGACGGCCAGCCACACUGGGACUGAGACACGGCCCAGACUCCUACGGGAGGCAGCAGUGGGGAAUUUUGGACAAUGGGCGAAAGCCUGAUCCAGCCAUGCCGCGUGCGGGAAGAAGGCCUCGGUUGUAACCG